GAUCCUGGCUCAGGACGAACGCUGGCGGCGUGCUUAACACAUGCAAGUCGAACGGAGUUUCUUGGAUCAAGACUUCGGUCAAGUGAAUUGAAACUUAGUGGCGGACUGGUGAGUAACGCGUGAGGAACCUGCCUUUCAGAGGGGGACAACAGUUGGAAACGACUGCUAAUACCGCAUAAUGUAUCCGGAGGGCAUCCUCUGGAUACCAAAGCUUUAUGUGCUGAAAGAUGGUCUCGCGUCUGAUUAGCUAGAUGGCGGGGUAACGGCCCACCAAGGCGACGAUCGGUAGCCGAACUGAGAGGUUGAUCGGCCGCAUUGGGACUGAGACACGGCCCAGACUCCUACGGGAGGCAGCAGUGGGGGAUAUUGCACAAUGGGGGAAACCCUGAUGCAGCAACGCCGCGUGAGGGAAGAAGGUCUUCGGAUUGUAAACCUCUGUCAGUGGGGACGAUAAUGACGGUACCCACGGAGGAAGCCACGGCUAACUACGUG
rnacentral:rRNA from 1 species